rnacentral:rRNA from 1 species
GAAUCCCGUCUUUGACACGGGCUGCCAGGGCAUUGUGAUGCGCUCUCAAAGAGUCGAGUUGUUUGGGAUUGCAGCUCAAAAUGGGUGGUAAAUUCCAUCUAAAGCUAAAUAUUGGGGAGAGACCGAUAGCGAACAAGUACCGUGAGGGAAAGAUGAAAAGAACUUUGGAAAGAGAGUUAAACAGUACGUGAAAUUGCUGAAAGGGAAACGCUUGAAGUCAGUCGCGUUGUUCGGGAUUCAGCUUUAGCUUCUGCUAGGUGGAUUUCCUGUUCGACGGGUCAGCAUCAGUUUUGGCCGGUGGAUAAAGGUUCAGAGAAUGUGGCAUCCUCGGAUGUGUUAUAGCUCUGGGUCGCAUACAUCGGCUGGGACUGAGGAACUCAGCACGCCGCAAGGCCAGGUUUCGACCAUGUUCGUGCUUAGGAUGCUGGCAUAAUGGCUUUAAUCGACCCGUCUUGAAACACGGACCAAGGAGUCUAACAUGCCUGCGAGUGUUUGGGUGGAAAACCCGAGCGCGUAAUGAAAGUGAAAGUUGAGAUCCCUGUCGUGGGGAGCAUCGACGCCCGGAGCAGACCUUUUGUGACGCAUCCGCGGUAGAGCAUGUAUGUUGGGACCCGAAAGAUGGUGAACUAUGCCUGAAUAGGGUGAAGCCAGAGGAAACUCUGGUGGAGGCUCGUAGCGAUUCUGACGUGCAAAUCGAUCGUCAAAUUUGGGUAUAGGGGCGAAAGACUAAUCGAACCAUCUAGUAGCUGGUUCCUGCC